rnacentral:tRNA from 1 species
AAGAUUUUAAGUUAUAACCCCAAACUUUAAACCUUCAAAGUUUAAUAAAUAAAUUUAUUUAUAAAUCUUA